UGCCUACGGGGGGCAGCAGUGGGGGAUAUUGCACAAUGGGGGGAACCCUGAUGCAGCGACGCCGCGUGGGUGAAGAAGCGCCUCGGCGCGUAAAGCCCUGUCAGCAGGGAAAAAAAUGACGGUACCCAAGGAAUAAGCCCCGGCUAACUACGUGCCAGCAGCCGCGGUAAUACGUAGGGGGCAAGCGUUGUUCGGAAUGACUGGGCGUAAAGGGUGCGUAGGCGGUGUAGCAAGUUAGAAGUGAAAUACCUAGAGCUUAACUCAGGUGCUGCUUCUAAAACUGCUAUACUUGAGUGCAGUAGAGG
rnacentral:rRNA from 1 species